rnacentral:tRNA from 1 species
GGCUGAUUAGCUCAGCCAGUUGAGCAUGGUGCUAACAACGCCAAGGUUGCAGGUUUGAUUCCUGUGCGGUCC